UAGAAGAUGGUGUAGUUGGUAGCAUUGUGGGUUUUGGUCUCAUAUGUGUAGGUUCAAGUCCUAUUUUUCUAA
rnacentral:tRNA from 1 species